CCUUGAAAUACCACCCUUUAAUGUUUGAUGUUCUAACGUUGACCCGUGAUCCGGGUUGCGGACAGUGUCUGGUGGGUAGUUUGACUGGGGCGGUCUCCUCCUAAAGAGUAACGGAGGAGCACGAAGGUUGGCUAAUCCUGGUCGGACAUCAGGAGGUUAGUGCAAUGGCAUAAGCCAGCUUGACUGCGAGCGUGACGGCGCGAGCAGGUGCGAAAGCAGGUCAUAGUGAUCCGGUGGUUCUGAAUGGAAGGGCCAUCGCUCAACGGAUAAAAGGUACUCCGGGGAUAACAGGCUGAUACCGCCCAAGAGUUCAUAUCGACGGCGGUGUUUGGCACCUCGAUGUCGGCUCAUCACAUCCUGGGGCUGAAGUAGGUCCCAAGGGUAUGGCUGUUCGCCAUUUAAAGUGGUACGCGAGCUGGGUUUAGAACGUCGUGAGACAGUUCGGUCCCUAUCUGCCGUGGGCGCUGGAGAACUGAGGGGGGCUGCUCCU
rnacentral:rRNA from 1 species